GACGUAGGUGACUAGCGUUGUCCGGAUUUACUGGGCGUAAAGAGCGCGCAGGCGGUCGUUCAAGUCGAGUGUGAAAGCCCCCGGCUCAACUGGGGAGGGUCAUUCGAUACUGAUCGACUCGAAGGCAGGAGAGGGAAGUGGAAUUCCCGGUGUAGUGGUGAAAUGCGUAGAUAUCGGGAGGAACACCAGUGGCGAAGGCGACUUCCUGGCCUGUUCUUGACGCUGAGGCGCGAAAGCUAGGGGAGCAAACGGG
rnacentral:rRNA from 1 species